rnacentral:rRNA from 1 species
CGAUCGAGGCUUGCUUCGGUCGUUAGUGGCGGACGGCUGAGUAACGCGUGGGUGACCUGCCCCGAAGUGGGGAAUAACUGCCCGAAAGGGUGGCUAAUACCGCAUGUGGUGGUGAGUUCAUUCUCACCAGUAAAGCCGCAAGGCGCUUCGGGAGGGGCCUGCGUCCGAUUAGCUCGUUGGUGGGGUAAUGGCUCACCAAGGCGACGAUCGGUAGGUGGUCUGAGAGGACGAUCACCCAGACUGGGACUGAGACACGGCCCAGACUCCUACGGGAGGCAGCAGUCGGGAAUUUUGCGCAAUGGGCGAAAGCCUGACGCAGCAACGCCGCGUGAGGGAUGAAGGCCUUCGGGUUGUAAACCUCUUUUCUCAGGGAAGAUAAUGACGGUACCUGAGGAAUAAGCCACGGCUAACUACGUGCCAGCAGCCGCGGUAAUACGUAGGUGGCAAGCGUUGUCCGGAUUUACUGGGCGUAAAGAGCGCGCAGGCGGUCGAUUAAGUCGAGUGUGAAAGCCCCCGGCUCAACUGGGGAGGGUCACUUGAUACUGGUCGACUCGAAGGCAGGAGAGGGAAGUGGAAUUCCCGGUGUAGUGGUGAAGUGCGUAGAUAUCGGGAGGAACACCAGUGGCGAAGGCGACUUCCUGGCCUGUUCUUGACGCUGAGGCGCGAAAGCUAGGGGAGCAAACGGGAUUAGAUACCCCGGUAGUCCUAGCCGUAAACGAUGGACACUAGGUGUUGGUGGUAUCAACCCCGCCAGUGCCGUAGCUAACGCAUUAAGUGUCCC